GGAUUCCCCUAGUAACUGCGAGUGAAGCGGGAAAAGCUCAAAUUUGAAAUCUGGCAGUUCUUGACUGUCCGAGUUGUAAUCUAGAGAAGUGUUACCUGUGCUGGACCGUGUACAAGUCUCCUGGAAUGGAGCAUCAUAGAGGGUGAGAAUCCCGUCUUUGACAUGGACUACCUGUACAUUAUGGUGCGCUCUCAAAGAGUCGAGUUGUUUGGGAAUGCAGCUCAAAAUGGGUGGUAAAUGCCAUCUAAAGCUAAAUAUUGGCGAGAGACCGAUAGCGAACAAGUACCGUGAGGGAAAGAUGAAAAGAACUUUGGAAAGAGAGUUAAACAGUACGUGAAAUUGCUGAAAGGGAAACGCUUGAAGUCAGUCGCGUUGUCUGGAAAUCAGCCUUGCUUUUGCUUGGUGUACUUUCUGGUUGACGGGUCAGCAUCAAUUUUGACCACUGGAUAAAGUCUCUGGGAAUGUGGCAUCCUUGGAUGUGUUAUAGCCCUAGGUCGCAUACAGUGGUUGGGAUUGAGGAACUCAGCACGCCGCAAGGCCGGGUUUCGACCACGUUCGUGCUUAGGAUGCUGGCAUAAUGGCUUUAAUCGACCCGUCUUGAAACACGGACCAAGGAGUCUAACAUGCCUGCGAGUGUUUGGGUGGAAAACCCAUGCGCGUAAUGAAAGUGAAAGUUGAGAUCCCUUCAGGGAGCAUUGACGCCCGGACCAGACCUUCUGUGACGGAUCCGCGGUAGAGCAUGUAUGUUGGGACCCGAAAGAUGGUGAACUAUGCCUGAAUAGGGUGAAGCCAGAGGAAACUCUGGUGGAGGCUCGUAGCGAUUCUGACGUGCAAAUCGAUCGUCAAAUUUGGGUAUAGGGGCGAAAGACUAAUCGAACCAUCUAGUAGCUGGUUCCUGCG
rnacentral:rRNA from 1 species